rnacentral:rRNA from 1 species
GACGAACGCUGGCGGCGUGCUUAACACAUGCAAGUCGAACGAAGAGCGAUGGACGCUUGCUUCUAUCAAUCUUAGUGGCGAACGGGUGAGUAACGCGUAUCAACCUGCCCUUCAGAGGGGGACAACAGUUGGAAACGACUGCUAAUACCGCAUACGAUCUAAUCUCGGCAUCGAGGAUAGAUGAAAGGUGGCCUCUACAUGUAAGCUAUCACUGAAGGAGGGGAUUGCGUCUGAUUAGCUAGUUGGAGGGGUAACGGCCCACCAAGGCGAUGAUCAGUAGCCGGUCUGAGAGGAUGAACGGCCACAUUGGGACUGAGACACGGCCCAGACUCCUACGGGAGGCAGCAGUGGGGAAUCUUCCGCAAUGGACGAAAGUCUGACGGAGCAACGCCGCGUGAGUGAUGACGGCCUUCGGGUUGUAAAGCUCUGUUAAUCGGGACGAAAGGCCUUCUUGCGAAUAGUGAGAAGGAUUGACGGUACCGGAAUAGAAAGCCACGGCUAACUACGUG